rnacentral:rRNA from 2 species
GCUAACGGCUGAACUGGCAACUUGGAGAAGUGGCAAGUCUUCCAGUAUGGGGAGCAAAACAGCUAUGGGUCAAGUCCGAUAUCUUUAGGAGAAGUCUUAUUGUGAGGGCGAGUUAUAUAACACCAUAGGACUGGCCGUCCCAUAUGAAAAGAUUAUAUUAGAAUUGAAUGAAGCUUUGUUUAUAUAUUGAUAAUGACAGUAUAUAUAUCGUGUCUUGACUAAUUGCGUGCCAGCAGUCGCGGUAAUACGUAAGAGACUAGUGUUAUUCAUCUUAAUUAGGUUUAAAGGGUACCCAGACGGUCAAUAUAGCUUAUAAAAUGUUAGUACUUGACUAGAGUUUUAUGUAAGAGGGCAGUACUUGAGGAGGAGAGAUGAAAUUUCGUGAUACCAAAGGGACUCUGUAAAGGCGAAGGCAGCCCUCUAUGUAAAAACUGACGUUGAAGGACGAAGGCACAGAGAACAAACAGGAUUAGAUACCCAAGUAGUCUUUGCAGUAAAUGAUGAAUGCCAUAGGUUAGAUUGAUCAAUUAUAGUCUAGGGUUAGUCUAGCAAACUAAUGCCCUAUGAUAUAAUUCAAAAUAUCUGGUCUAUAAAUGAAAGUGUAAGCAUUUCACCUCAAGAGUAAUGUGGCAACGCAGGAACUGAAAUCACUAGACCGUUUCUGACACCAGUAGUGAAGUAU